UCGAUCAAGAAACGUAUACUUCCAAUUUAACUCGGGCUGCAGUCGUCGUAAAUGCCAGGAUGGUGCGUGGGUGGGCUCGUCUCCUACCUCAAUCUGCUGCACCUGUGCGAGUACCGUCAGUCGCCGCGUUGUGCAGAGCCGGCGAGGGGAGGCGAAGCUUUGCCGUUGUUCGUCAAAAUGGAGUUUUUGAUGGAGCCGAUUCGAAGAUCUGCAGAGUCAAGGUGCUGGAGGAAGUGAACGACAGUGAAAUUAUGAUGGAGCUGCUGCAUUAUCCACUCACCGCCACUGUGGGCGUUUAGCAGCCGCCGCCGCCGACGCCCUGAUUAACUGUGGAUGGUCAGAUUUGUGCGGUGGGGGCGGUGAUGAGUCCUGGAAGGCAAGAAUCACCACAAGCAUCCGACCAAUCGAUAGAAGAGAUGAACCCGGCUGCUCCUGGGUGGAUGUGAAGGUAUGCUACUUAGGAGUCUGAAUGACAUGCCUCCCACUGGAAAAGUUAGUUGGUGAUUGUAGGUCAGGCGUGCUUGUCCUGAUAAUGCUCACUAGAGAUUAUAGAUUUUAGAAUUGAAAUUGUACACAUAUUAUUAUAGACAUAAAAACAUUGUACACGUAGAAAUCGAAUGUGUAAUCGACGUGCAACUGCUUGCUCUGCAGUACUGAUAGACAUUAUUUCUCCUGUAACUGAAUGGGGAUGUGGUAAUAAUCCAAUAAAUAAGCUUGUAUGUGCUUCUUAAUAUGUUCGUCCAGCUACUGGUCACUAUAUAGUUCAGAUUGUAGACUUGCAUCGGGUAUACAGGCUUGUUAAAUUCUAAAGCAUUGUUCCCAGAUUGUCCACUUUGGCUACAUAAUUUGGACAUAUGUAGACUUCUACAACUUUUACUCGUGGGAGAAGGGAUUUUGUAUUAGAUAUGGCAGAAGCAGGCUGAAUGUCGAGAGGACGAAGUGCAUGCAGGGAAUUGUUCGCGGCUGUGCGCGUGCAGCAGAGGCCUGGAUUGAGAAUACUCGGUCCUGCCAUUGUGAGUGCCCUGCUCUUGGUUGGACGUGAAGGGUGAGGAUAGGUGCUGCCGCACCAGGAAGGGCGCCGUGCCCCAAUCGAAUCAGUGCGCUAGAGAAGUCAAUUCGAGGUUUCACGGAGAAUCCAGGGGACAAUGUCAUAGUGCCAACGUUGGAGACAAGUUUUGAUACUUUGGGAGAAGCCUACCACUUUUACAACCUGUGCUCUUGGGAGAAGGGAUUCCACAUUAGGUACAGAAAUAGUCUGACUAAAUGUUGAGACGACGAAGUGCAUGCAAGAAAUUGUUUGUGGGUACGCGGUGAGUACAUCUUAAUAUGUAUGCUGUGGUUGCACAAAUGAAAAGGAAAAGGAAAUGUAAAUAAUGUAUGCAAGAGAACAAGGUUCUGUAUGAUUUGUCGGCAGCAGGGUCAGAAGAGGACAACAUGCCCAGAUGGCGGCGAUGUUCCAAAACCGGUUAGGAAGCCAGUUCGAUGCAAAAGCUGUGGUGUAGAAGGGCAUUGGCAAAACAGCUGCCAGAGUUGGCGAGCUACGCCUAUGCAACACGUGAGCAUGGUCCUGUCACUGAGAUUGCUGAAAUUUCAGCAGUCUUGCGUGAUAUGUGAGGUAGUUGGGAAAGAACACUGUCGUCGAACAAGUGUUACUUGAGUGUUAAGAUGUUGUAAUUGUGAACUUAAGUUGCAAACUAUCGAUGUGAUGUCUGUCCUGUGUCACUCCUGAUAGUAGGCUUUAUGGUUUGAUUGUUUGAGGCUUUUAAGUUUUUCUUAAGUGAUGACAAAACUUUGCGCUAGUGAUGCUUA